rnacentral:sRNA from 1 species
UUACUUAUAGCUUCCUA